rnacentral:rRNA from 1 species
GGAUGCGAUCAUACCAGCACUAAUGCACCGGAUCCCAUCAGAACUCCGAAGUUAAGCGUGCUUGGGCGAGAGUAGUACUAGGAUGGGUGCUGGAAGCCCCCACCCACUUUUU